rnacentral:rRNA from 1 species
CACGUAGGGUGCGAGCGUUGUCCGGAAUUAUUGGGCGUAAAGAGCGUGUAGGCGGCCAUGUAGGUCCGUUGUGAAAACUCGAGGCUCAACCUCGAGACGCCGAUGGAAACCAUGUGGCUAGAGUCCGGAAGAGGAGAGUGGAAUUCCUGGUGUAGCGGUGAAAUGCGCAGAUAUCAGGAAGAACACCCGUGGCUAAGGCGGCUCUCUAGUACGGUACUGACGCUGAGACGCGAAAGCGUGGGGAGCGAACAGG